AGAGUUUGAUCCUGGCUCAGGAUGAACGCUAGCGGCAGGCUUAACACAUGCAAGUCGAGGGGUAACAGGGAAAAGCUUGCUUUUUUGCUGACGACCGGCGAACGGGUGCGUAACGCGUAUAGAAUCUGCCUUGUACAGGAGGAUAGCCUUUAGAAAUGAAGAUUAAUACUCCAUAAUGUAGAGUAGUGGCAUCGCUAUUUUAUUAAAGAUUUAUUGGUACAAGAUGACUAUGCGUCCUAUUAGCUAGAUGGUAAGGUAACGGCUUACCAUGGCGACGAUAGGUAGGGGGUCUGAGAGGAUUAUCCCCCACACUGGUACUGAGACACGGACCAGACUCCUACGGGAGGCAGCAGUGAGGAAUAUUGGUCAAUGGAGGCAACUCUGAACCAGCCAUGCCGCGUGCAGGAAGACUGCCCUAUGGGUUGUAAACUGCUUUUAUACAGGAAGAAACAGAUCUACGUGUAGGUCCUUGACGGUACUGUAAGAAUAAGCACCGGCUAACUCCGUGCCAGCAGCCGCGGUAAUAC
rnacentral:rRNA from 1 species